UACGUAGGGAGCAAGCGUUGUCCGGAAUCAUUGGGCGUAAAGCGCGCGUAGGCGGCCCGAUAAGUCCGCUGUAAAAGUCAACGGCUACAACUGUUGAAGCCGGUGGAUACUGUCGGGCUAGAGUACGGAGAGGCAAGUGGAAUUCAGGUGUAGCGGUGAAAUGCGUAGAUAUCGUAAGGAAGACCAGUGGCGAAGGCGGGUCUCUGGACAGUUCCGUGACGCUGAGGCACGAAGGUCAGGGGAGCAA
rnacentral:rRNA from 1 species